AUGUCCUCAUCUAAUGUACAAGGGCAAGGGGCAUCAAGAAGAGAUGAACCUGAAGCUACAACAUUUACCAACUCUGAACAAAAGGGAGCAUUGCCUGUGAAAAAGAGGAAGCAAAGCCAGAUCGCUGUUGUACUUGAGGACUACAUGGAUUUUCGCAAGAAACAAUCUAUAAAACUGAUUGACGAGUUGAAGGAAUCAAAGCAAGACGACAUGUUCUCGAUUGGAAACUGUGUGGCUGCACUAGAACCAAUGGAAGAUCUAAGUUGCAGGAAAAAAGCAAAGGCACUACGGCUUUUCAAAUUCCCAAUGAAUCGAGAAAUAUUCAUCAAUACUAAGGACUCGAAUCUUCGGCUUUAUUGGUUGAAGGAGGAGAUUUCUGAGAUGUAG
rnacentral:rRNA from 1 species